rnacentral:rRNA from 1 species
AGAGUUUGAUCCUGGCUCAGAUUGAACGCUGGCGGAAUGCUUUACACAUGCAAGUCGAACGGCAGCACGGGUGCUUGCACCUGGUGGCGAGUGGCGAACGGGUGAGUAACAUAUCGGAACGUAUCCAAUAAUGGGGGAUAACUAAUCGAAAGGUUGGCUAAUACCGCAUACGCCCUACGGGGGAAAGCAGGGGAUCGUCAAGACCUUGCGUUAAUGGAGCGGCCGAUAUCUGAUUAGCUAGUUGGUGGGGUAAAGGCCCACCAAGGCGACGAUCAGUAGCUGGUCUGAGAGGACGACCAGCCACACUGGAACUGAGACACGGUCCAGACUCCUACGGGAGGCAGCAGUGGGGAAUUUUGGACAAUGGGCGCAAGCCUGAUCCAGCCAUUCCGCGUGAGUGAAGAAGGCCUUCGGGUUGUAAAGCUCUUUCGCAAGGGAAGAAAACUUAUCUUCGAAUAAAGGAUGAGGCUGACGGUACCUUGAUAAGAAGCACCGGCUAACUACGUGCCAGCAGCCGCGGUAAUACGUAGGGUGCGAGCGUUAAUCGGAAUUACUGGGCGUAAAGCGUGCGCAGGCGGUUUUGUAAGUCAGAUGUGAAAUCCCCGGGCUCAACCUGGGAACUGCGUUUGAAACUACAAGGCUAGAGUAUGGCAGAGGGGGGUAGAAUUCCACGUGUAGCAGUGAAAUGCGUAGAGAUGUGGAGGAAUACCAAUGGCGAAGGCAGCCCCCUGGGUCAAUACUGACGCUCAUGCACGAAAGCGUGGGGAGCAAACAGGAUUAGAUACCCUGGUAGUCCACGCCCUAAACGAUGUCUACUAGUUGUUGGGAGAGUAAAAUCUCUUAGUAACGCAGCUAACGCGUGAAGUAGACCGCCUGGGGAGUACGGUCGCAAGAUUAAAACUCAAAGGAAUUGACGGGGGCCGCACAAGCGGUGGAUUAUGUGAUUAUUUCGAUGCAACGCGAAGAACCUUACCUACCCUUGACAUCCAGAGAUCUGUAGAGAUAG